UAUUGGACUGCCCAGUGAAGAUCUACCCCAUAAGAAAAGCUCUUUAUUCACAACCUGAUUGCAUUUCUCUUAUUUUACUAAAAUACGUUGCUUUAGGACUAAUCAAAAACCAAAGUUUCUUUGGGCUGAGAUUAAAAGAUGCUACUUUAAGAAAGAAACACUGGAUCUCACUGCUUCAUUUUAUUAAGGACAACCCUCAUUACAUCCCAAAGGAAGACCUGCCAAAGGUCCUUCCCAGAUCCUGAAGGGUGGUCACCCAGGGAGGCUGCAGAUGGACUGAGAAAAUUGGCUCCCUCCAUACAACCAUGAGCACUCCAUAUCUUCGGGAAGGGAAGAGAAAAGAAGAGAAGUAUAUGUUGAGUCAUCAUGCUUCCAUCACAUCCCUGCAUGAAAAUCUCAAGACAGGAGUACCACUUUCCGAGUUCAUCCCUUUUAAAACUCUCUAUAUGAUGAGAUGGAUACGUGCUUCUUGGGAUGUGCGGCUUCCACCCAAAUUUUCAAUACAACAUCGUGGCUGAUGCCUCGGGCAAAGACACUUCCCAUAUAUUUUAACAGUCACCUUUUUCCAUCUCUGGAGAACGUUGAAUUAUAGAUGGGAACAAACUCUGCUGACAAGGUGUUGGCAUUAAGGAAAGCCCUACUCACUUUUGCUCUCUUCAGAAGGGUAAUGUGUGCCCUACUGUAUUGGGGAUGGGGAUUCCCACAUAAAUAUACUGCAAUAGAUCUAAUCCUUGACUGAUCCCCAGACUGCAGAAUUUUCUCUAACCAUUCUUCUCUUUCUGACCUUAACACUAACCCUGACCCUGUACCCUAUAGCCCAAUGAAGCUAGAUCCAGAUCAAGCAGUAAAUAAAAAUUAUGAUUUUUCUGCCUUUUAUUUUUAGUCCAGCAAAAGCAACAAGAGGGUAAAGAAUUAUGAUUUCACUGCUAAUGGUGUGACCCACCUCCAAGAGAAACUGUUGGAGAACUGCUCCUCCUUGGAGAAAUUCAUUGAAAACCCCUGAAGAUUUUCUGUGGUCAAAUAAUGGAAACAAUUCCACUCUUUGUCUACAAAGUCUGAAAACUGAUACAAUGAAUUGAGUCCACCAUGUUGGAACUCUGGACAACAUUCUUUAUAUGUUUAAUUUUCAUCCAUUUUCUCCCUAGGCACUCUGAGUUGUGUAGUUUUCCACCCAUUUAUUUCAUUACUUUGUUGGAUUUUUAAGGCCACCCAAUUCAGAAAUUACUCUGGGCAGCAUGCAAUAUUAAAAACAGAAUUAACAAGAAAGGGUAGCAACACAGCAGAACCAUUAAAUACCCCCAUAUAGGCAAAGACUCCACCAUCCAAAUUAACACAAGGCCUGGGGAAAAAAGAACAGUUUUAAGGGCUUUUUUAAAAUAAAGCAUAAGUGGGAGGCAUAUGGAUCUUGGAGGGAAUGGUCUUCCAUUUUCACAUCUAUCCUGUUGAAUGAGUCAAGCUAAGAGAACUAGUGGCCAAAUCUAAUUCUGAGUAUUGCCAAAAUAAGAUUUGAGUCCAGUCUUGUCAGUGGACUGUACUCACUCUCAGAGUCUGGGAGAUGGAGAAGGAAGGCUGGGGGACACACAAUUGAACCCUUUGCUAAAGCAGAGUCUUCUGGAGUAGGUGGCUAUAAUAAAGCAUGAUGAUGUUGAUGGUGAUGAUGAUGAUACAACUCUG